AUGGUAUUGACUAAGCUAAUGAUCCAGGCCUCAGAAGAAAGGUCCCUUCUCUUCUGCUUCAGGAGCAAGUUGGGAGGUACUGCUGUCAUUGAGCUAUCUGGCUUGGCAGGUCCAAGGCUGGCCGAGCCUCAUCGAGAUGUCUGCACCACCAAAGAUCAGCUGCUUUUGAGGGGUCUUCCCUGGCUCUGAUUGGCUGUUCUAGCCCAUCCAUCUUCCUCCUGGCCAAUGACAGCCUCCUUCACACAUGGGCCCUGCCCAAGGUGGCAGUUGGAGGUGCUCUAACUGCCACUAUCCCUGGGGGAGCUGUGGAGGCCAUGGCCAACAGGAGUGGCCGAGCCCGAGGCCAGGCUCUGGGCCUCUUCUCCCUGGCCCUGCCCGUGGGGGACGACCUGAGUUUAAAAGGAAUUGAAAAGAGCCACAAAAAAAGAUUUGAACCCAGGGGAAAGAAAAAGGAAGGUGUCACCAGGCUCCCUCUCUUCUUCUAAGGCUCUAAGUGGUAGCAGUGCUAUUUAAUCUCUUUUUCUCUUUUGGUGAGUCUGAACAUUUAGUGUUCCGUGUUUAAAGUGGGAAGGAGGGAAGAAGAAUCUUCCCUCCUACAGAAUGAACAGCACAGUAUUUAGAGAUUCUGUUAAGAGUAAUUCUGACAAGUAUUAAGAAAACAUUUGUUGUACAGCUUUGCUCACCAUAGAGAGACAACAAAAGAAGGUAUCACCCAGAUUUGUCACAAAGGAUUCUAGAACUUGGAGCUGAAGGUACCUAAGAGGGCAUGUAGACGUACCUCUUCAUUGGACAGAGAAGGAGUAGGAGGCCCAGAGAGAUUAAGGGACUUGCAUGCUAGCCGUGUAACCACUAAGUAGCAGAGCUGAGACUGAAGUGAGCCAAGCUCCUCUGCCUCCCAAUGCAGAGCUAAGAGAUUUGCCCUCAGGUUCUCUGAGUUAACAUUCAGUGCUCUUACAACUGCCCUGCUCUGUCUCAGUGACAUGGGAAGUUCAGAAGGCUGGGCAUUGUGAUCCUAUGGGAGUGUCAGUGUAUGUUAAAAGUUAUUCAUGUGUGCUAAAAAUAGUAACCUACUAGUUCAGGCUUUUUGUUGCUCAGUCAUGUUCUACUCUUCUUGACCCCAUUUGGGGUUGUCUUGGCAGAGAUACUAGAGUGAUUUGUCAUUUCCUCUCUCCAGCUCAUUUUUAUAGAUAAAGGAACUGAGGCAAAUGGGGUUAAAUGACUUGCCAAGGGUCAC
rnacentral:lncRNA from 1 species